rnacentral:autocatalytically_spliced_intron from 1 species
AGGUUGGUGGGGACCCCGCAGGGCCCCACCCCAGUCAUUGCCAUGCGGAUAAAAGCAGGCCUGAAAAGGGUUUCCUGCUAGUCUCGACUCGAUUGGGUGCUCCAAUCGACCGAGGCAACACCCUCAAAUUGCCUGGAACUCCUGCUAGGCCCCUGGUACCGCCCAAUCGAUGAAAGUUGGUUGUGGCACCACGGUGAAAGUCGUGGGUAUGGUAAUAACCCAGUGGGAUAGGGAUAAUGGGCAGCCAAGUGCUAAGUGCAAUCGAAUCGGUGGUAUCGGUUGCAUAUGCAUGCUGUUCACAGACUAAAUGUGGGUGGGUCGAACUGGAAAUCUCAUCGAUUGCAUUUCCUUUUUGGCUUAAGAUAUAGUCGGGCCCCGCCGAGAGGCGUGCCUCUAGGAGGAAUCUCUAUUCGAGAGGAGAGCCUAGAGGGGACUGGGUAGAACUCGAUGGAGCGAUCCAUUCGAGGGCGAUCAAGCCUCCAGUCUGGACUCACCG